rnacentral:rRNA from 1 species
CCUACGGGAGGCAGCAGUGGGGAAUAUUGGACAAUGGGGGCAACCCUGAUCCAGCCAUGCCGCGUGUGUGAAGAAGGCCCUCGGGUUGUAAAGCACUUUCAGUGAGGAAGAACGCCUGGUGGUUAAUACCCAUCAGGAAAGACAUCACUCACAGAAGAAGCACCGGCUAACUCCGUGCCAGCAGCCGCGGUAAUACGGAGGGGGCGAGCGUUAAUCGGAAUUACUGGGCGUAAAGCGCGCGUAGGUGGCUUGAUAAGCCGGUUGUGAAAGCCCCGGGCUCAACCUGGGAACGGCAUCCGGAACUGUCAAGCUAGAGUGCAGGAGAGGAAGGUAGAAUUCCCGGUGUAGCGGUGAAAUGCGUAGAGAUCGGGAGGAAUACCAGUGGCGAAGGCGGCCUUCUGGACUGACACUGACACUGAGGUGCGAAAGCGUGGGUAGCAAACAGGAUUAGAUACCCCUGUAGUC